ensembl:lncRNA
CUUUUGUGGAUCUAGUUUAUUAAUCAGCAUUGUAAUUAACAAGACCACAUGCUGUACAGAAACCUGAAAUAGAACUACUGCAGAUUUACUGGACUUUAAAUGCUGCUGGACUGUAGUAUAUGAUGUCCAACUGCACGAUUUUUAAAGUGUGGUUAGGGCUGUUUCAAUACACAGACAUACAUUGCUCACUCUCAGAUCCUGUAGUAUGCCAUAGAGCAGGGAAAUUUCCCAGAAAUACAAACUCAAAUAUUUACAAGAAAUCAUCAAUCUCUUUCUUCACUAGGGAUAACAUAAGUUAUACACAUUUUUUCUAUGUAUACCACAUAAAAUCUUUGCCUUCAACUUUACUUUGUGUCUGCACAAACCAAUCUCUUUUAUUUAUCCCAUUAAAUUCUGGUAGUAAACUGCAUUGCAAUCACUUACUUGAUAAUCAUUCAUUAAGGAUUGGUAUUCAAGCUGCAAAAGCAAAACUUGAGCAAUCACAGUCAAGGGUUUUCAAGCUUUAAAAACUCCAACUUUAGAAGCUUGAAUCAAACAAUCUUGAGCUAAUCAACUGUUACUGACCAGAAACUAUUUAGGACUACUGUCUUUGGCUUGACCAUGCUGGAAGCAGGGUGAUAAUGGUAGCUCAGGGCUGAUGGGGUUGCACACUGGAUUACAGCUUGCUCAGCAGAGCAAACUCCACUUCUCUUGCAAAAAAACCCAAACAGAUCUAUACACAUUGGGGUCAUAGAUGUCCAAUACAAAGUGGCUGCUCUCCUCCAGCCCUACACCAAGCAAAAAGACCUGGCUGGAUUCAAAAUCAGAUAACUAAUGUUAUGUCAAGUUAGCUGUUAUGCUAACAUUCAUAAGCCCUCAGGUCCUAUUAGCAUGGGCUCACUGCCAUGAUAAUUAGCUAAAUGACCUGCGUCCCGCCAGCUCACAGCCCAGAGAGAGCAGGUGCUCAGUAGUCUCUGUCUGGCCAAGCAGACAUGCCUAAUGAUUCUUUCUUUAGAAUUAAGUUACACUUUAUAAUACAACAGAGUUCAGGAAAACAGAAACAGCAUAUUUUACUUCAGACAGUUUGACCUCACUCCUUUCUUUAUUUUUAUUUUUUAAAAUAAUUGACUGCUUUCCAGUAUGAAUGAAGUUCCUUCCUUUCUGCCACCACUACCCGUAACUUUGAUGCAAUACUCGGAAGUGCAACAAGCAUGUGCUGAGUUUGGCGGGGGGGACAGGGAAGGAGAGGAGCGUGGGAAUAAUCUAGGCUAGACUGUGUGACACAUUCCUUUGAAGGCAAAGGUUUUCCUUUAUUGUUACACUGUAUGAAACAAAUCUAAUCAUGUAACUACCAUUUUACUGUAUACUGUAUAUAGGAUUGUUUUCUCCACAAAUUCACACAAGUAAGAUAAAAUAAGUUAAAUGGCUAAAAAAAAAAUUACACAAAAAUAUACAGUCUAUGUACUAGAUAAAUUAUUUAUAUAUAUGACAAGAUGUGUAAAGAGUCUCUAGUAACGUUAUUCCUCUGGAUACUGACAAGCCACUCAGAGAAAAAUGUUGCUUCAAAUGCAUGGUUUUAUAUAUUAGAUAGGCAAUAUAUAAAAAUGAGGGAACCAUUUAUCUCCUGGUACAACACUUAUUUAUAAUUAAUUGUUCUGUAUCUCGCUGACACAAUUUUAGAAUAUCACAACACAAUUCAAUGGAUAUAACACUUAAUACUUCCUACAAUCAGAUUUAUCUUUACAAUUCUUUUUGUUUAAGCAAGUUUUUGUGCUGUUUGGUUUUGGUGUUUUGGUUUUUGUUGUUUUGUUUUAAAGAGAAAGGGGGAUGGUUAAUUGCUACUGUACCUUAGGCAACCUCCCCGCCCCCAACCCCUAAGUAUUCAAAUGUGAAGUUUGUUGAGGUUUUUUUCCUACCUAUUAAAAAAACACUAGUUCUGGUUCCUUCACCUUUUCCUAUGAAAAUCCUAAGAUUUUAGAAAUUAUAUUUUUUGCCAGGAAAUUUCAGUUACAACUUUCAGUCAGAACAGAAAUGUUACAGGCCAAAAAAAUGAGCGUUUUCCAAUUCAGCAACCACCUCUGUAAACAUUUGCUGUGGCAGCCUUCUGUAAUAAAACCUGAAGUCCUCUGCUUACAAUACAAAGCAUUAGCUGUCAGCAUUAUUCUAAAUUUGCACAAUUAAUAUGGUUGGUAAAUCUGUGUAAACUACAGAUAAGCUUUUUUCGCGUAUCCCUGAAAAGGACUGCCGAAUUUCCUCAUCGUGAUGUCUCCAAAGGAAACAACAAACAGCUUUGUAUAUAUUAGGUAUGAAUUAAUCUGUCACAUUUUUAAUUGUCCUGGAAUCAGAAAUGAGUUGUCAGCUAUUGUGUGUCAGUACCCAAAGGAUUAUUAUUUUUUUCCAGGAUCUACAUGCAACUGGAAGCCAGUGUGCCACAUCUUUUCUAAAUGUUACUGAAAACUACAUUAAAAAAAAAAAAAAAAAAAAGGAAAGGAAAAGAAGUACAUCAUUAGAUAAUCUGAUGUCCAUUAAUUAAAUUCUAUCAGUAGGUUAAAAGUGAAGCUUCUUUUGUUUUGCACAUAAAAUCUAAAUGUGGUUUGAAGAGAUUUACAGUGGGGACAGCAAUAUAUAAAGCUACUUAUACCUGCUGGGCACAUAAGAGAAGCUCUUUUAGCAUUCAUUGGAAACCCUCAACAACUUGAACUUCUGUAAAUUUUACAAGCAGCUAAUAUUACAGCAUUUUUACACACAGUUUGUUUAUAAAUUACAGAUUUAAGUUACAAUAUGAAGCCUACAUAGAAUUCUAUCCAUAGGAAAUAUUCACACACUGUUUUUUCCCCUUCCAUACAACUUCGAUUGUCUCACUUAAUGUGGCAAUAAAACUAAAAAGUUACACAGUUUUUUAAAGAAAAAAUUUCUUUGUAGGUACAUAGUGUAAAUGAUGGAAUGGCUGAACAGCAACAAAAUACUAAAAGGUAAAAGUGUUUUUUCACCUAAGAAAGGAACCUACUUUUCAUCCACUGUAGAUUUUACCAGCUUUUUUCUGCCAGUAUUAAAUACCCUCAAGUACACAAAACACUGAAAAAAAAUCCCUCAUCUUUAACAAAACUCAUCUUGAGACUUGAUCAAAUAACCUGAUUGGGGUGUGCUUAUGAUUACAUUUAUCCAGCUUUCAGUACCUAGACUCUGUCAGUCAUUCUCUAAUAAGCUAAGCCACAACGACGAGCACUCCUUCAUCUACUAGGUUGUGGUGAGGUAACUAAUAUUCUAGCUAACCUUUCACUGAAUACUUACAAUAGGUGAAUAUAGCUAGAAAAAAAACGCCUUAUGCAUCACAAUCUUUUAAACACCAGUAGCUUGCAGCCACGACAUCACAUCAGCCAAAAAAACUACCCCAUUUUCCUACUGUUUUCAGCAGUGCCCAAGUAAAUUUCAACUAACAGGAACAGUAGCCAAAGCAAGCUCUGCAAGAUGAAAAAAAGAACCCAAAACAAAACAAAAUAGAGAGUAAUGGCUUGAAAAGCAUAAUAUGUAUCAUAUUGUUGCUUGUAUUACUGUAGAAAGGAAAAUCUUGGAAAUUAAAAAGUUACUUGCAUCUUUUUUUUCCAGUUUUAAUCUUGCAUAUCCUAUCAUUGUCAUGUUAUUUCACACAGAAAAUCCUAGUUGAGAGCUUUCUAUUUAAUCUAUUGCCUUCUUUCAAAGAAUAAAUACCUGUAGACUGAUCCAAUAAAAAUUAAAAUCAAAACCAGUUGUCAUGUCUUUAAGUAUAUUUUCCCUCUUAGUUACAUAAAAGAUAAAUUUUGGUGGAAAGAUAUACU